GCAGCAGGCGCGAAAACUUUACACUGCGCGAAAGCGCGAUAAGGGGACCUCGAGUGCGUGCGCAAUGCGUACGCUUUUCAGAUGCCUAAAAAGCAUGUGGAAUAAGGGCCGGGCAAGACCGGUGCCAGCCGCCGCGGUAACACCGGCGGCUCAAGUGGUGGCCGCUAUUAUUGGGCUUAAAGGGUCCGUAGCCGGACCAGUUAGUCCCUUGGGAAAUCUUACGGCUUAACCGUAAGGCUGCCAAUGGAUACUGC
rnacentral:rRNA from 1 species